AGGAACUUUUUUCACAGCCUUUCUAGGGCUGGUCCUUUAAAUUUGACAGACAUAAGCAGCUGUGACCCUAAGGAAGCCAUUUUUAAAAUGGCUGUAUCUUUCUUUCUGCUGGUCUUCAGUAGAACAAUCAGGGUCGAAGUCUGGUCUCAGGCAGAAGAAGCAGAUUGCUGAUCCAGGCAAUAAUGGACUGUGCAGAUGUGACUGGCAGGAUUGUGUAUCAUUGAUAUGAGGGGAUUGUAUAAGAUCAAGUGAUAAAACUAAGGUUGAAUGUCAUUUUGCAUCCUGUGAAGAUACUAACAUAUCACAGAACAGAAACGUUAAGCCUAAUUCCUCCUUUUGAACAACCAUCAACCGCUGUGAAUCAAAGUGGAAAACAGUAAAUGACUCACUUUCCUGCAAGUAAGAAUUUAAUGAGACUCCUUAGUCUGGUACACACAAAUGUGAGAUGGUGAAAUGCGAGAUACUUGACCCUGAUGGGCAGUUAUGAGGAUGUUGGUCAGUGUUCUUCAAACAAAAACAAGCUCAAAUACGAUCUAUAAAAUUGAGAAUGUAAUGUAGAGAACUGGGACGAUGCCACAGAAAGUCCGGUGAUGGCAGUGACUAAGAAUUUUAUACUGUGUUGAGUAAUACAAUUCUGAGAGACGAAGCAGGAGAAGGAACAACGCAGCAUGAUGUACACACAGAUUUACGCAA